AAAUAAUGAUGAUGAUGAUGAUGAUGAUGAUACUUUUUACGAGCUCUCUCAUCAUGGUGAUUAUUUUCAUUACAAUCCUCAUCAUCAUCAUCACCAUUAUAU
rnacentral:miRNA from 1 species